AUGGUGAACGAGAUAAAUAAAAACAUGUUAAAAGGAAACGAAAAAAAGGGCUAUGCUUCUUUCUUCUAUGCAUUUUGGAGGUUUAGGGUUUGGCAGAGUUGAGUUGUCUUCUCCACCUAUCAUCAAUACUUGGCUUCUCCACCAUCGCUGAAAAAAUCUAACUAUCUCGAGACCAAAUACUCAGGUUCAAAUAUGCUUAUGCUUAGCCUAACUAGAAGAUUAUAGUUGACAUGGCUAUAGGCAUGAUCAAUUCAAGAGCUAUUUUGUGGGGGAUCAAAUGUUGAAUUUUAUCAAAUUUUUUUGUUCCUUGUUUUUUUUUUUUUUUAUUUAUUUAUAAUUAAUUUGUAACAUUUUUAUUUUUUGGGUUUUGUUGUUGU